rnacentral:rRNA from 1 species
AUAUCAAUAAGCGGAGGAAAAGAAACCAACAGGGAUUACCCUAGUAACGGCGAGUGAAGCGGUAACAGCUCAAAUUUGAAAUCUGGCCUUCACGGGUCCGAGUUGUAAUUUGUAGAGGAUGUUUCGGGCAAGGCUCUGGUUUAAAUUUCUUGGAACAGAAUGUCAUAGAGGGUGAGAGUCCCGUCUAGAACCGAUGGCCGCGUCCAUGUGAAACUCCUUCGACGAGUCGAGUUGUUUGGGAAUGCAGCUCAAAAUGGGUGGUAAAUUUCAUCUAAAGCUAAAUAUUGGCCAGAGACCGAUAGCGCACAAGUAGAGUGAUCGAAAGAUGAAAAGCACUUUGAAAAGAGAGUUAAACAGUAUGUGAAAUUGUUGAAAGGGAAGCGCUUGCGGCCAGACUUGCCCGCGGUUGCUCAGCCCACCUUCUGGUGGGUGUAUUCUUCCGCGGUCGAGCCAGUAUCGGUUUGGGCGGUCGGACAAAGGCGCCGGGAAUGUGGCCCCUCUCGGGGGGUGUUAUAGCCCGGUGUGCAAUGCGGCCAGCCCGGACCGAGGAUCGCGCUUCGGCUAGGAUGCUGGCGUAAUGGCUGUAAGCGG